GCUUCUUCGUCUUCGUUGUCAUUGGUUCUUCUCUCUUUCAGAUCAUCAGGACUGCAACUAGUGGAGGCAUGGCUUAAAACCAAAUAGAAUUCAAGGCGGGAGGAAGCAAUUCUCAAAUUUGAAUAUCUCUUCUUCUCUUCUGACUUGUCUCUUUUUUCUUUCCCCUUAUACUGUAGAAUGUGUUAACUUUCUGUUUAUUACUACAUGUUAUGAAGAAUUUUGAGUCUUUUCUAAAAAUA